UGGUUAGGUGAAUUGCUGCUGGUUACAUUAUAUCCCUGUUUUCGUGGACCCCGUUGUAUGUGGAGCCAAGGUCGGACGUGAUUGAACGGUAAGCCAUCGUUCGUGCUAGGGAGUGUACCAUGAGUGCAGGAAGAUGAGUUUUCAUCCAUUGAUGCAGCAAAGAUAGAUUAUACAUCAAUUCCCAGCUUCAACUCAAAGCCAAAGUGACAAAGCAAACCACCAUCUCUUUCAACGACUGCCCCACUCCAACAUAAAAGAAAAACAGAAUAAGAAUCUGUUGAAAUGCCAUUUUCACUAUUCAAUGAUUUGGUGAGUUUGGGUAGGUGCCUUAAAUACGAAACAAAAUGGCCUAUUUUGAUCGAUCAAAUGUAUGAUAUUGUCCAUUUUGAGUGUCAGCCGAUGCAGCUUUAUUCUUGGAACCCGACACGUUUAUCAUGUCAUUGGGUUAGUUUAAUGCAAACGACUUUGCUUGGAAGUAUAGACUUAACUUUUUUU